UGGGGAUGAGCUGCUUUGCCAAACCAGCUGGGGCAAUAGGUUGAGCAAGUGUGUGUUUGUUGCGGUGGCAAAUGAAAAGCUAAACAGAAACAAUAGCUGGAAGAAAAUUUGGCAGAAGGAGGGACCGUGAAACCCUAUAAUCUUAGAUGUGGAUUUAUUGAAGGCGUGGUCACGGGUGACCCACAGGGAAAGUGGUAAACAGGGACAACACCACCACUUGUCUCACAUUGAUGCCAACUGUCUUUAUGCUGAAUUGAUGAAACAGCUGAAAGAAGAGAGUCUAAUUGAGCCCUGAGUGCUGCUGCCAGAUUGCUCACCACGGCUGUUUCCAGCAUAAUUGAUAUAGGCAAUCAUUGUUUAAUGAACUUCACGUACGAAUUUCAGUGGAUGAAAACUCUCGAUAUGGAAGCACAGGAGGCAGACAGGAGGGCGCUUGCUUCCAUCUGGCGAGGGCUCCGGCGUGUAUUUACUCGUGUCUCACAAGGCUUAUCACAGCCUACCUCUCUGUCCACGCUGCGUCGGCCGAAGAGCUGGAAACAUUAAUAUUACCACCAGAGGUCACUGUGGGGCAACGCAUCAGUGGUGCCUUCAGAGGCGGCCGAUAGGCAGAACGUGUGAACCGGGCUGUGAGCACUUGUCAUUACACUCCUGCGGUUCGGUAAAACCGGUAAGAAACAAAACAAAACCACCAAAACCAAACAACCGAGGAUUCAGUGAGGAAUUAAUCUUCUGGGGAGACAGUGGCAGGUGGGAGAAGAAUUGUCCCUGCUGAGGUACUACCUGAUGGUUACACGUGCUUCAGAAUAAGAGGAGCUAUGCGCUGUGCUGGAGACUUUAGGAUCUUGGAGAGUAUCUGUUCCAGGAAUUAUUAUAAUAGGUUGUCCAUCCUAUAACUUACUAUAGAAAACAAGAGCCUGAAUCCUGCAGCAUCACUGGGAGAAAUCAAUGAGUGAUAGAAGCAUGUGGUUCCCUGCUGCAGUAUACAGUGGUGUCCAUCUUCCCUCCUCUAGGGAGGCUUGCACCUUGCUCAGCCUGGGGUGCUAGGAAGAGUCUGUUCAGGCUUCUCUGACCCUUGAUCUAUUACUCUGUACAGUAUAUAUGUCCUGUGCACAUAUGUUUGUGAGGGGGGCCUCUACUAGGAGUACGAUGGCCUGGCUGGAACAGGGAACACAGAGAUGUGGCAGUGUUGCCUCCAUCAGACAACUGACUUCAGCACCAUGACAAUUUGGACUGCAGGGUGGCAGAACCCCAAGGUACAAAACAUGACCGGGUGGAGGCAGCUGCCUUUGAGUCAGUGCAGCACAAGUCUGCAGGAGAAAGCCCACCCAGAAGCAACAGACUUGAUCUUCUGAAAGGUAUGCAGGUGGAGCAUCCAUUUCUCAUGAGGAAGAAAUACUGAAUAAAGAACUAGAGCUCCAGCAGUGAAGAACAGCAAAACAUGCUGCCUUUACGGUCUGCAGCAAGUUAUGCCACUGUAGAAAUUAAACCAAGACACAUGUUGUUGAUUUCUGAAGUGCCAAAAGAAGGACAAGGUCAGAGCUGGUCUCUGAAUACAUCAUCCCAAUGGCAUUUCAAUGGAAAUGCAAAUUUAGGAAUUUGGGAUUAGGAACAAAAAAUUUCAGAAAAUAGACACAGACCCAGAAGAAUUAAAGGAAAGGAGUUGGGCAGAUCCCGUAUGUUGUAGACCAAUACACAGAUCAGCAAGCACACACAGAGAAAGAAGAAUAUUACCUGUCAGUGGAAGGUGAGAAAACAAACAUGGGAGGAUGAUAUUUGCCAAGAAGGUAGAUCUUGUGAUAGUCCACAGAAUCAGAACUCAGUGGCUCUGGAGGCCUUAAAUGUAAGUAGCUUUUUAAGAAGUAAUAACUUUCUCCUUCCAGAGUGAUAUUUGGGUACCUACAACUCAUCUCCCCCACUGUUAUUUUAAACUAGUGAAAUGGAGGUUAGAGCCAGCAUUGCUUAUCAGUUUAAUCAUCAGGCCAUAGAUUUCUGUUCCUUCUUCUUACUGGCUUUUAUUGUCACUUAACACUUUGUUUCUUUCUGGUAACACUACCCUUUGCUUUAAUAAUCUCUCCCUUUAUCCUGGCCUCCAGCCUGUACUUUAACAUGGUUAUUCUGGGAGGUAAAAUAUGUAAUUUCCAAUGUUCUUAACUAUAGAAAAUGCUUGCCUUGCAAGGAUGUAUGGGAUUUGAUAUACAAAUAGACUUCCCCUCUAGCAAAGCUUACUAGAUAUCCAAAAGGGCAUGAAUGUUGCUUUCCAUCAUAGAGUGCCUCAUUCCCAAAGCUCUUUGUACUUCAAUGAAAUCUGAAUUGGAAAAAGAUGAUAGGUAUAAUAUCUCCCUGGGCGAUUUACUGCACUUGCUUAAAUCAGAAGACCUUCCUAAUCUCUGUCUCUGAGAAAUGCUUGGGAAAAUAGGAUGUUCUUACAAGAGCAAGCUGUUAAUAAAGCCUUUUCCUGUUAGAUGUGCUAAGUAUCCUUGUAGCAUUUGAAGAGAUGCUGGUCCUAGAGAACAACCGGCAAGGCUGUGGCAGAGCCAGCAGCUUUAUCCACAAGGUUUAAAUCAGGGGUGCUAACAUCUGCUCUUUCAAAGACUUCACCUUUUUUGCCAUUGUCACUAAAAACCAAUGCCUUUAACGCUGAUUAUAGCUGUCUGUGUGCUCCAUGCUAAGGCACAACUGUUUCAGGAUGUGGAAGAUCUCUUUGACCACUUCAUUAUGAAGGAAAAUACAGACAAAGGCAGAAAUACACAUUCGGUUUAGUGCUGCAAUGCUUGAAAUACUUGUUUGGUGUCAUUCCAGCUGAACAGGCUGUAUCCUGUGCCUGCGCUCCCCACCACAGUUGUUACACAGACUUUUUGUAGCCUUCCCCUUUCUUCAACAGCUCCUUUGCAGCCUCAUGCUGGUGAGAAGCUUUGGCUCUGUUUCCCUUUCUGUCCUAACCCUACACCUUGGUUGCAAGUUGAGCCUCAUCCAAAAUGCCCAGUUCUGGCUCAAGGUUCAGACUGUGGCCCCUCAUUCACUUUUAGAUGACUUCUUCCAGAUUGUGGCUUUUCUGCAUCAGAAUUUCAGUCUAAGCUAGCACUGAGCUUGUGGGCUGUUGGACAGGUCUAGGGUGGCUGGCUGCAGCACAAGCCUUUGCCACAAAUGUCCCUGUCAGCUGGAGAGAGACAGUGUCAUUCCUGGACCUAAGCCUCUCUUCAGCAGGUGUUCAGCUUGCUCUGGUUACUCCCUAGAGCCUUUGUGAGUUUGAGUAGCUGGAGCAACUCACUUGUGUAAUCCUAGCACGUUUCCUCUUGCAGGCUGACACCAAGAAAUGCCCCCCUGUUUAUCCCACUGGACAUUGAAGAAUAAUUUUGCCACUCAGCUGGUAAGUUUUAAAGACAAACUGAAGAACUGCCUUAUACACUGCUCGCAAGCUGGUGCUUCUGCAAAACUGCCUGCUUUGUUUCAGUCAGAGCAAUCCAUAGCCCUCAGUCCUAACCCAGUGACAGCUUAAUGCGUAGAGUGUCACUCCUGCAAAUGACCUCUCUCCCUUACGUUGAGUAGCUGAGAUGUCAGUGCUAAGAGCCAGUGGUACUGUAACCCUAUUACUUGGUCCUCAGAGCCACAUUUGAUUGUGUUCUUUGGCAGCAACAGGAAAUAAAUGCACUCAUUUCGGUGUCACCACUGAGGUAUAGCAGCACAACUAAGUUACAUGCCAGAGCAAAUAAAUCCACUUGGCAGCAGCAGCUGCACUUGUUUUCUCUCACCAUGCAAAACCUCAGAUGGUGUAAGCACUCCAGAGGAGAGCAGACAUGUCCCACUCUCUCUCUGGGACAUCAGAAGGAGCACAACGAUUCAGGUGAUACUGCAACACUGAGUGACUUCCUCGUGCAUUUUAACCCUUCCACAUCAGGAAUUUGUGCUGAGACACAAAUACAAGUCUUGAGAACUUCUACUUUCUGUCGGAUGAGUUCCUUUUGGGGCAGAAAGCGACUCCUUUAGGAAGCUCUCUAGCAGCAGGAUCCACCUCACAGUUCCUGAAGGACCGAGCAAUACGAACAUCAUCUUCGACUUGUAUGUCUCUCUGGGGGCAUCCUGGACCUUCUGCUUCCCAGCUGUGGGGGUGAGGAGAAGCAGCAGCCCCCAGAGGAGAGUGUGACACAUCCACCCUAUGGCAUUAUCACAGAAACCUCUGACACGUCACACGCUUCUAGAAAUGCAAACCACCCUGCUGUUAUUUCUAUGCCCUACGUGUUCCCGCCAUCUUUAGAGGAAACAGCGACCAGAAAGCAAACCAAGCAAUGGAAGUAAACCAAAAGCAAAGAACAACCACCGCCACGCUUAAACAAAACAAACAAAAACCCACACGAAAAGAAAAACAACAAAACCAAACCACCCCAAACAGGAAGGGCGGUGUCCUCAAGAUGUACGGUGGCAGUUUUACGGUUUGGCUGACUGCUUCCUGAGCGGCUGAGCCCUCGGGACUGCCCCGCUGUUGCUGUUUCGGCACGCUGCUGCUCCCCGUUCCGCCCUGCGCGCCGGUGAAGGGCAGCCCCGCUCUCUGUCGCUUCUCACGCUGCGGCCAGUCGGUCGGCUCCGGUCAGCCGUAAGGUAAGCAGACCCCCAGGUGGGACGGUUGGGCGGGCGUCCUAGGUGGAGGGCCGCACGGUCGGCGGUUCACGCAAGCGCCGGCAGCGAGCGACGAAACCGGGCGGCAGCCGCUGCCGGCCGCCCCGCCCCGCGCCCUUCCCGCGUUGCCUGGAGACGGCGGCUGCGGCCGCCAUGGAGCUGCCCGGCUUCCGGCCCGAGCCAGCCCCGCCCGCCGCCCCGAGGGCGGUACGGCUUGAGAGGAGAGGCGCCGAGGGUCGAGUUUCUCUCACCGAGGUGACUUCUGGACGUCGCAUAUACGCGACGCUGUUGUGGAAUUUGGUGCUAACGUUCCAGAAAGCAAUUUCCGAACAUCAAGGCAGCAACUUAAUGUAAAUUGAACACGGUUUAAAUUUCUCAGUAUUUUUGACACCGUUGUCUUCCAACAAUUUUCUCCCUGCAGAACAAGGACGAUUUUAGCAGACAAGUGACUACAGACCUAUUUGGUACAAAGUUGACAAGUGUUUCUUACUUAUUUAUUUAUUUUUUAUUUUUUUU